GGGCCGGAUGCGGAACUGGUGUCCGCCUGGGCCUUCAAAGCCCUGAGGAAGGCGCGUGCCGUCUUCGGUAGGUUCGAUUCCUACACGGUCCC
rnacentral:tRNA from 1 species